rnacentral:tRNA from 1 species
UUAAUUAAAACGUUACUCUUACAAAGUAAAGAUUUACAUUUUUGUGUUCGUUGAA